ACUUUUAAUAAUAGAUCUCUUAGCUCUAAUAUUAAUAAAGAAUAUAGCGAAAUAUAAUAUAUAAUAUAAAUUAUAGAAUUUAGUAAAUUAUCGAAUCUUUAAAUAUAUAUAGCGCUUUCUAAUAUCCUAGGAGGUAUACCUAUCCGAGUAUCGUUUUAACCCUUAAGCCCUAAUAGCUUAGUAUUAAGGAUCUAUAUCUAUAGGCCCUUAAAAAUAAUAGUAGACCUAUAUAGCCCUUCUUAAUAUAAUAGUUAUAGCUUAUAUUAGAGUCCUAUAAGCGCUUACCUCUAAACCCCUUAUAAGCCCGCCUUAUAUAGUAAUAAUUAACCUUAGAUUAAAUAAGAAUACCUAUUAAACUUAAAUAUAUUAAUAAAUAAAGGAAAAGAAAUUAAUAGGGAUUACCUUAAUAAUAGCGAAUAAAGUAAUAAUAGCUUAAAUUUAAAAUCUAGCUCCUUUAAGGUCUAAGUUAUAAUUUAUAGAGGAUAUUUCGAAUUAUAAUUCCUUCUAAGCUCCUUAGAAUAGGAUAUUAUAAAGGGUAAGAGCCCUAUCUAAUAGGAAACUAUACUUAUAUAAAGCUCCUUCGAUAAAUCGAGUAAUUUAGGAAUACUAUUCUAAAAAGAGGUAUAUUCCUUCUAAGGCUAAAUAUUAGCUAGAGACCGAUAAUAUAUAAAUAGAGUAAUCGAAAGAUAAAAAGUAUUUUAAAAAGAGAAUUAAAUAAUAUAUAAAAUCAUUAAAAGGGAAGCGCUUAUUACUAGAUAUAGGUUUAAUAAUUUAAUUAGGUCUAUAACCUAGGGCAUUCUAUUAGCCUAGGCUAAUAUUAGCUUUCUAUUAAGGGUAAAAAUAUUAAGAAUAUAGUUCUCUUUUAAGGGAAUAUUAUAGCCUAUUAUAUUAUACCCUUUAAAGGGCUAAGGUAUACGCUCUAUAAAGAUAUUAAUAUAAUAAUAGCUAAUAACUUAUCUUAAAAUAUAGAUUAAGGAAUUAACCUUAUAUAUAAGUACUUAGGCGUAAAUCCUUAGUAUAGAAUAAAAGUAAAUAUAAAUAAGAGCUUUAAUAUAUUAUCGACCGAUCUUAAUAUCCUUAAAUAGAUUUAAAUAAAAGUAUAUAGGGUUAGAUUUAAAAGAAGAUAAAUUAUAUAUAUAUAGGGUAAACCUAGAGGAAACUCUAAUAAAGGCUUAUAAUAGUUUUAAUAUAUAAAUCGAUUAUUAAAUAUAUAUAUAGGGGCGAAAGAUUAAUUAAAUCUUCUAAUAAUUAGUUUCUAUUUAAAUUUCCCUUAAGAUAAUAAUAUUAAUCCUAGUUUUAUAAAGUAAAAGGAAUAAUUAAAGAUUAAAGGGCGCUAUUUAGCCUUUAUCUAUUCUUAAACUUUAAAUAUAUAAGAAGUCUUUAUUAUUUUAUUAAAUAUAGAUAUUAGAAUAAAAUAAUAUUAAUAAGCUAUUUUUAAUAAAUAGAAUUAGUAAUAUAGGAUAAACUAAAUAUAAAGUUAAAGUAUUAGAAUAAACGUUUAUUAGAUAUUAUAAAAAGUAUUAAUAUAUCUUAAUAAUAGGAUAAUAGCUAUAGAAAUCGGAAUCCGCUAAGGACUAUAUAAUAAUUUAUUUAUUAAAUAUAUUAGCUUUAAAAAUAGAUAGCGCUUAAAUAUCCUAUUUAUACUUCGGCCUUAGUAUAGGCUUAGCGUAUUAAGGAGUAAGCGGAUAUAGAGGUUAAUAAUAAAGCCUAGGAUAUAAGUCUAAGUAGAAUAGCCUUUAAUAUAGAUCUUAAUAAUAAUAAUAAAUACUUUAAUAAGAAUUUAAAGGACUAAAAUAAGGAAAGGUUCUAUAUAAAUAGCGGUUAAAUAUAAGUUAAUCGAUCCUAAAUUAUAGGGAAGUUCUAUUUUAAAAAGGUACUUUUACCCUAUAUAGUAAAAGGGAAGCUAAUUAAUAUUCUAAUAUUUAGAUAUAGGUUUUAUAUAAUAAUAUAACUAAAUAUAGAGAUAAUAGUAGGGGCUUUAAGAAUAGUUCUCUUUUCUUCUUAACGAUCUAUUACCCUAGAAUUAGUUUAUCUAGAGAUAGGGUUUAAUAGUCGGAAGAGCUUAGCGCUUCUAUUAAGUCUAGUACGUCCUCGAUAUCCUUAAAAAAUCUAUAAGAGGGAAUAAUUCUUAUACUAGGUUAUAUUUAUAAUUAUAAUAAGUCUCUAAAGUAAAUAGCCUCUAAUUAAUAGAAUAAUAUAGAUAAAGGAAAUUAAUAAAAUAGAUUUAUAAUUUUAGGAAAAGGAUUAACUCUAAGGAUUAAGUAUAUUAAGCCUUAAAUAAAUAAUUUAAUAAUAGGAGGUUAUUAGCUAAGUAACUAGCUAGAGGCUCUUUAUUACUUAGCUCGAUACUCUUAAUAGGCUUUAGCUAUUAAAUAUAUAUUUAAUAAUUAAUUUAGAACUAAUAUAGAUAAAAGGAAUCUAAUUAUUUAAUUAAAAUAUAGUAUUAUAAUAGUUAGAAAGUAAUAUUAAUAUAAUAUAAUUUCUAUCUAAUACUAUAAAUAUUAAAGUAAAGUAAUUUAACUAAGCGUAAAUAAAUAGUAGGAAUAACUAUAAUUCUCUUAAAAUAGCUAAAUACUUUAUUAUUUAAUUAAUAAUAUAUAUAAAUAGAUUAGCGAGAUUCCUAUUAUCCCUAUCUAUUAUCUAAUAAAACUAUAGCUAAGGGAAUAAGCUUAAUAGAAUUAAUAGGGAAAGAAGACCUUAUUAAGCUUAAUUCUAGUUUAAUAUUAUAAAAAGAUAUAAAAAGUAUAGAAUAAAUAGGAGCUCUAGUAUUAAUAAAAUACUAUUCUUCUUAUUAUUUUUUUAUUUAUUUAAUAGAAUAGAGCUAAAUUUAUAUUUUAUUUCUAGUAUUAAGGUCCUUCGUAGGCUAACUAAAAUUAAAGAUAUUACUAAAUAAAGAGUAUAGCUAAAAUAAUAUAUCUAUUAAACUAUAAUAUAAAUAUCCUAAAAGGGGCUUAUAGAGAAUAGAAAUCUCUAAUAGAAUAAAAAGGUAAAAGUCCCUUUAAUUUUAAUUUUUAAUAUAAAUAUAAAUUAUAAAAGUAUAGCUUAUCGAUCCUUUAAUCUUUUAGAGUUUAAAGCUAGAAAUACUAGAAAAGUUAUUAUAAGGAUAAUUAGUUUAUAGUAGCUAAGCGUUUAUAGCGAUAUUACUUUUUAAUCUUUUAAUAUUAGCUCUUCCUAUUAUAUUAAAAUAGAAUUUAGUAAAUAUUAGAUUAUUUACUUAUUAAUAAAGAAUAUAAGCUAGGUUUAGAUUAUUAUAAAAUAGGUUAAUUUUACUUUAUUAAUAAUCUUAUUAUAAUAAUAAUUAAGCUUAAUAUAAGAGGAAUUACUUAUUUAAAUAAUUAAUUUUUAUAAUUAUUUAAUUAAAUAAUAUUAUAAAGCUAUUAUCUAUUAAAUAAUAGCUAAAUACCUCUAAGUUAGAAUCUAUACUAGAAAGUAAUAAUACCUCCUAUAUAUAUAGAUAGAUAUAAAUAUACCUCUAGCUUAAUAUCUUAAUAAAUAAAGAACGCUAAUAUUCU
rnacentral:rRNA from 1 species